AGCCACAGCCAUAUCACCCUGCAGCCCAAGACUGGCUGCCCACUGAAGCUAAGCAGGGUUGAGCUGGUCAGUAGCUGGAUGGGAGACGACCUGGGAAAACUAGGUUGCUGUUGGAA
ensembl:rRNA 5S_rRNA 5S ribosomal RNA